UAUUUAGUGGCGGAAGGGUUAGUAAUACAUGAAUAACUCACCCUUAACCUGGGGAUAACGAUUGGAAACGAUCGCUAAUACCGAAUGAGGUGAAACUGAGGCGACUUGGUAUCAUCAAAGUGGGGGAUUUUGAAAGAGACCUUGCGGUUGAGGAGAGGUUCAUGGGAUAUCAGCUAGUUGGUGAGGUAAGAGCUCACCAAGGCUAAGACGUCUAGGCGGAUUGAGAGAUUGACCGCCAACAUUGGGACUGAGAUACUGCCCAGACUCCUACGGGAGGCUGCAGUCGAGGAUCAUUCGCAAUGAGCGAAAGCUUGACGAUGCGACGCUGUGUGAACGAUGAAGGCCUUCGGGUUGUAAAGUUCUUUCGCCUGUGAACAAGAGGAUUUAGAUAAUACCUAAAGAAUUUGAGGGUAGCAGGUAAAGAAGCACCGGCUAACUCCGUGCCAGCAGCUGCGGUAAUACGGAGGGUGCAAGCAUUAAUCGGAAUUAUUGGGCGUAAAGGGCGCGUAGGCGGUUUGCUAAGUCAGAUGUGAAAUACCAGAGCUCAACUCUGGUGCUGCAUUUGAAACUGGUGAGCUUGAGGGUUGGCGGAGAAAACGGAAUUCCACAAGUAGCGGUGAAAUGCGUAGAUAUGUGGAAGAACACCUGUGGCGAAAGCGGUUUUCUAGCUAAUGCCUGACGCUGAGGCGCGAGAGCAAGGGGAGCAAACAGGAUUAGAUACCCUGGUAGUCCUUGCCGUAAACUAUGUAUACUUGAUGUAGUUGGGCUCAACCCCGACUGUGUCGAAGCUAACGCGAUAAGUAUACCGCCUGAGGAGUACGCUCGCAAGGGUGAAACUCAAAAGAAUUGACGGGGGCCCGCACAAGCAGUGGAGCAUGUGGUUUAAUUCGAUGCAACGCGAAGAACCUUACCCGGGAUUGAAAUUCAGUAGGCGAUGGUAGAAAUAUCAUUUCCCGCAAGGGCUGCUGAAUAGGUGCUGCAUGGCUGUCGUCAGCUCGUGCCGUGAGGUGUUGGGUUAAGUCCCGCAACGAGCGCAACCCUUAUCAUUAGUUGCCAACACGAGAGGUGGGAACUCUAAUGAGACUGCCUGGGUUAACCAGGAGGAAGGUGAGGAUGAUGUCAAGUCCGCAUGGCCUUUAUAUCCGGGGCUACACACGUGCUACAAUGGUAGAUACAGAAGGCAGCAAAGCCGCAAGGUGGAGCAAAUCCGUAAAGUCUAUCUCAGUUCGGAUUGUGGUCUGCAACUCGACCACAUGAAGCUGGAAUUGCUAGUAAUGACGUAUCAGCUACGACGUCGUGAAUACGUUCCCGGGCCUUGUACACACCGCCCGUCACAUCAUGGGAGUUGGUUUUACCCGAAGUCGCUGACUUAACCGCAAGGGGAGAGGCGC
rnacentral:rRNA from 1 species